rnacentral:rRNA from 1 species
UACGGAGGAUGCGAGCGUUAUCCGGAUUUAUUGGGUUUAAAGGGUGCGCAGGCGGAUUUUUAAGUCAGCGGUCAAAUCGUGGGGCUCAACCCCAUCCAGCCGUUGAAACUGGGGAUCUAGAGUGUGCGAGAGGUAUGCGGAAUGCGUGGUGUGGCGGUGAAAUGCAUAGAUAUCACGCAGAACCCCGAUUGCGAAGGCAGCAUACCGGUGCACAACUGACGCUCAGGCACGAAAGCGUGGGUGUCGAACAGG